GAUAUGGCCAUGAAUGGCGUUGGAUGCCGGGCAACCGCCCGCAUUAUGGGCGUUGGCCUCAACACGAUUUUCCGCCAUUUAAAAAACUCAGGCCGCAGUCGGUAACCUCGCGCAUACAGCCGGGCAGUGACGUCAUCGUCUGCGCGGAAAUGGACAGUCUGAAUCAGCUUGUGUGUUAGUGGAACGGUCUGGAAAGUCCGACGGUACAGGGUGAUAGUCCCGUACACGAAAACACACUUGCUGUGAACUCGAAGAGUAGGGCGGGACACGUGGUAUCCUGUCUGAAUAUGGGGGGACCAUCCUCCAAGGCUAAAU
rnacentral:rRNA from 1 species